GGCAGAGGGUGCAAACGUUGUUCGGAAUUACUGGGCGUAAAGCGCGUGUAGGCGGCAGGGCAUGUCGGAUGUGAAAUCCCGUGGCUCAACCACGGAAGUGCACCCGAAACUGCCCAGCUUGAGUCUCGGAGAGGAAGGCGGAAUGCUUGGUGUAGAGGUGAAAUUCGUAGAUAUCAAGCGGAACACCGGUGGCGAAGGCGGCCUUCUGGACGAUGACUGACGCUGAGACGCGAAAGCGUGGGUAGCAAACAGG
rnacentral:rRNA from 1 species